rnacentral:rRNA from 1 species
AGCAGCCGCGGUAAUUCCAGCUCCAAUAGCGUAUAUUAAAGUUGUUGCAGUUAAAAAGCUCGUAGUUGAAUUUCGGGAUCAAGGAAUCGGUCAUGCCUUGGUAUGUACUGGUUUUAUUGGUUCUCACCUUCUAAAGAACCAUAAUGUCAUUUAUUUGAUGUUAUGGGGAAUUAGGACUGUUACCUUGAAAAAUUAGAGUGUUUAAAGCAAGCUUACGCUUGAAUACAUUAGCAUGGAAUAAUGAAAUAGGACAUCAGAUUCUAUUUUGUUGGUUUCUAGGAUCGAUGUAAUGAUUAAUAGGGAUAGUUGGGGGCAUUAGUAUUCAAUUGUCAGAGGUGAAAUUCUUGGAUUUAUUGAAGACUAACUACUGCGAAAGCAUUUGCCAAGGAUGUUUUCAUUAAUCAAGAACGAAAGUUAGGGGAUCGAA